GGGGAAGCCGAGGCUCAGAGGGCGCCUGUUGUUAAUCAGCGCUGGCACGCUUCUCUCCCCCGCCCCACGCAGGCCCUGCUGCACCUGCUCCCUCUUAGGACUGAAUGCCCUACGAUCCCCACCGAAUGAGGAAGGACGCUAGAGGUUACAGGACUGGUCUCCGACCGCUCAGCCAGAAACAGGCUUUGAACCCUGCUGAACUCCGGUGGCACAGGCUGCGCAAGGCUUGCGUCUCCCUGGAAGGGCCACUCCUCUCUGGUCAGCGAAAUCUCCUCCCCGCCCAGGAAUCUGGACGGCCCCUGCCAUUUGCCUGGUUGUUCCCCUACCCGAGUGCCCUCGAUUUUCCCCUCUGGUCGGGGCAGGAGCGGCAGGGCUGGAUGCCAGGGCCCCAGGGGCAGGGAGGUGAGUGGGCACCACUCCUUCCCCCACGGGUAAGGUGGACAUCCAGCUUCGGACCACAUCACAGACGCCCAGGCCCCCAGCCACAGCCGGGAUCACUCAGCUGGGUAACGUCUCCACUUCCCAGCUGGAGCUGGGAACUUUUCCACGCUGCCAGGACUUGCAAGAAAACAGCUGUCUGGCUGACGCUUUCACACAGAGCCCUCAUGAGGAAGCCCCUGCAGGGAGAACGCUCAGAGAUGGAAAGUCACUGCCCAAGGCCACACAGCUGAGACCUAAACCCUGAAUAUCUCCAGGGCUGUCCCGUUGAUAUCUUCCAACAGCACGUGCACAGAGACAGCCAUCAGCGGGGACGCUGCCUGGAUGGAGGACACCUAGUUUGGCAUUCGCUUCAGAACAAUCUGGGGGAGGUAGAAUGCGGGUAUGGAGGAGAGAGAUGGCUCCCAGGUGGAAGCUGGUGAUAGGCCCCAGGUGGGCACCCCAGGUGGCACCCUAGGUGAGCACACAGGGUUGAUUACACUCUGCCUUCUUAGAUAGAUGCAUGUUUGUCAUUUUCAUAGUAAAUGGUUUUUUUUCAAUGAUCUUGAGUAAGCAUAUGAGAUAGCAUUAAAUAUAAGGCAAAGCUUCCCUCCACUCCCAGAACAGAUCCCUUUCAACAAGGGGUGUGGUGGAUGUGGUGGAGCUAACACAAGACUGGCUAUGCAGGAGAAUUGCUUAAACCCAGGAGGCGGUGGUUGCAGUGAGCUGAGAUAGUGCCAUUGCACCCCAACCUGGGCAACAAGAGGGGAACUUCGUCUCAAAAAAAAAAGGACUGGCCAUGUAUUGAUCAUUAUGGAAGGUCAGUGGCAGGUACGUGGGUGGUUUUUUUUGUUUUUUUUUUGUUUUUGUGGGGGAGGGGGAGAAGGAGUUUUGCUCUGUUGCCCAGGCUGGAGUACAAUGGCACGAUCUCAGCUCACUGCAACCUCCACCUCCCAUGUUCAAGUGAUUCUCCUGCAUCAGCCUCCCGAGUUGCUGGGAUUACAGGUGUGCACCACCAUGCUGGGCUAAUUUUUGUAUUUUUAGUAGAGACAGGGUUUCACCAUCUUGGCCAGGCUGAUCUCGAAUUCCCAACCUCAGGUGAUCUGCCCACCUCGGCCUCCCAAAGUGCUGGGAUGACAGGCGUGAACCACUGCCCUGGCCAUGGGUGUUUAUUAUACUAUUGACGCUACCCUUUUAUGGGCUUGCAAAUCUCCAAAAUAAAAAAGAAAUAAUCAUAAAAACAAACUAUAUCAGUUUAAAAAGAAAGUCAUCUCAUAGUUGAGUCUUUACAGGUUAGUCUUUUAAUGAUUUCACUUUGCACAACCAAGUAUUGUUUGGGGAAGACACCUUGUUCUGAAACAACCUCAAAUGAGGCUCUACUAAGAAAUUCUGAGGAGAAACUGAGGGAAGCAAUAACAAAGGAGGCAAAACCAAAAACAACAACAACAAAAACACCCUACAAAUUCAGCAGCUCUUCCUGGGUGAGGAGCUCCCAGUGUAGAUGUUGACAUGAAUAAGCCUUUUAAACAUGUCUUUAAAAAGAAACACUGGGCCAGGCACGGUGGCUCACCUCUGUAAUCCCAGCACUUUGGGAGGUUGAGGCAGGAGGAUCACUUGAUCCUUGGUGUUUGAGACCAGCCUGAGCAACAUAGCAAGACCUUCUCUCUACAAAAAAUAAAAUAAAAAUAAAUUAGCUGGGCAUGGUGGUGGGCGGCAGUAGUCCUAGCUACUCAGGAGACUGAGGCGAGAUAAUUGCUUGAGCCCAGGAGGUCGAGGCUACAGGGAACCAUGAUUGCACCACUGCCUCCAGCCUGGGUGACAGAUUGCACCACUGCCUCCAGCCUGGGUGACAGAG
ensembl:lincRNA